AAAGGCGCUUUCGGGUGUCGCUGAUGGAUGGACCCGCGGUGCAUUAGCUAGUUGGUGAGGUAACGGCUCACCAAGGCCACGAUGCAUAGCCGACCUGAGAGGGUGAUCGGCCACAUUGGGACUGAGACACGGCCCAAACUCCUACGGGAGGCAGCAGUAGGGAAUCUUCGGCAAUGGACGAAAGUCUGACCGAGCAACGCCGCGUGAGUGAAGAAGGUUUUCGGAUCGUAAAACUCUGUUGUUAGAGAAGAACAAGGAUGAGAGUAACUGUUCAUCCCUUGACGGUAUCUAACCAGAAAGCCACGGCUAACUACGUGCCAGCAGCCGCGGUAAUACGUAGGUGGCAAGCGUUGUCCGGAUUUAUUGGGCGUAAAGCGAGCGCAGGCGGUUUCUUAAGUCUGAUGUGAAAGCCCCCGGCUCAACCGGGGAGGGUCAUUGGAAACUGGGAGACUUGAGUGCAGAAGAGGAGAGUGGAAUUCCAUGUGUAGCGGUGAAAUGCGUAGAUAUAUGGAGGAACACCAGUGGCGAAGGCGGCUCUCUGGUCUGUAACUGACGCUGAGGCUCGAAAGCGUGGGGAGCAAACAGGAUUAGAUACCCUGGUAGUCCACGCCGUAAACGAUGAGUGCUAAGUGUUGGAGGGUUUCCGCCCUUCAGUGCUGCAGCUAACGCAUUAAGCACUCCGCCUGGGGAGUACGACCGCAAGGUUGAAACUCAAAGGAAUUGACGGGGGCCCGCACAAGCGGUGGAGCAUGUGGUUUAAUUCGAAGCAACGCGAAGAACCUUACCAGGUCUUGACAUCCUUUGACCACUCUAGAGAUAGAGCUUCCCCUUCGGGGGCAAAGUGACAGGUGGUGCAUGGUUGUCGUCAGCUCGUGUCGUGAGAUGUUGGGUUAAGUCCCGCAACGAGCGC
rnacentral:rRNA from 1 species